AUUUGUUGACAAAUGUCUGGCACAGUAGUGGAAGGAAGCUCCAUAUAGGUACUGCCAUACUCUUUUUUUUGCUGAGUCUUCCAGCAGGAACUGAAAACUAUGUAUCUGUUCCUCCUUUCCAUUCUAUAUUUGCCUCUGAAACCCACUAGCAGCCAAGAAGUUAUAUUUGGCCAUAACCAUUUCACUGAGUAUCAAGUGGGCAACAUGAACCUGAUCCUCUCUGUCCCACAUGGUGGGUCAAUGGAACCUGAAGACAUCCCUGACCGAGAGGCUGGCUGUUGGGAUGCAGAGACAUCUUCUUGUAUUUUCUCUCAUGAGUGUCCUCCUGGAAGCAUUCAAAAUUAUGACAAGUAGGUUCAAGAUGGAUGCCAACAGGGAAAAGGAAGAGGCCACCUUUGGAGUUCCCCAAGCAGAACAGGCCUGGGAGGAUUACAUGGGGUUUUUGACCACUGCAAAAUCACAGAUGACAGGGGGCCUGAUUCUGGAUAUCCAUGGACAAGCACAUCCCGAACAGUGGAUAGAAUUAGGUUAUACACUUUCAAAAACUUCUCUUAACUCGGGUGACAUUUCUGCUUCAAAUUCCUCCAUUAGACAUCUGUCCAAUCAGCUAGUUGGUGUGUCUUUUGAGACUUUGCUUGCAGGGAACAGAAGUUUGGGUAAAUAUAUUGAAGAACAAAAUAACAGUUACAUUUGUGUGCCUUCUCUAUCCAAUCCAAGCCCCAAAAAUGGGAACUAUUAUAGUGGUGGAUAUAUAACGCAGACUUUCGGCUCCCGACAUUCUGGUGUUGUUGAUGCUAUUCAGAUUGAACUGCCACAGUGGGUGAGGGCACCUAAAGAACUUCCCAAAUUCUGUAAAGCACUAGCAAAGGCUGUAAUGAAAUUCUGGCAAACUAACUACUGCAGCCAGCUCAAGCACGGGUUUCUGCCGUGCUGA
rnacentral:lncRNA from 1 species